UUCCGGUUGAUCCUGCCGGACCUGACUGCUAUCGGAUUGAUACUAAGCCAUGCGAGUCUUUGUAGUAAUACAAGGCAGACGGCUCAGUAACACGUAGUCAACCUACCCUAUGGACGAGAAUAAUCUCGGGAAACUGAGCAUAAUUCUUGAUAGAUCAUAAUGCCUGGAAUGGUUUAUGGUUAAAAUGAUUCGUCGCCAUAGGAUGGGACUGCGGCCUAUCAGCUUGUUGGUGAGGUAAUGGCCCACCAAGGCGAUUACAGGUACGGGCUCUGAGAGGAGAAGCCCGGAGAUGGGUACUGAGACACGGACCCAGGCCCUAUGGGGCGCAGCAGGCGAGAAAACUUUGCAAUGCGCGAAAGCACGACAAGGUUAAUCCGAGUGAUUUCUGCUAAAGAAAUCUUUUGCCAGUCGUAAAACCGCUGGUGAAUAAGGGGUGGGCAAGUUCUGGUGUCAGCCGCCGCGGUAAAACCAGCACCUCAAGUGGUCAGGAUGAUUAUUGGGCCUAAAGCAUCCGUAGCCGGCUUUGUAAGUUUUCGGUUAAAUCCAUGUGCUCAACGCAUGGGCUGCCGAAAAUACUGCAUAGCUAGGGAGUGGGAGAGGUAGACGGUACUCAGUAGGUAGGGGUAAAAUCCUUUGAUCUAUUGAUGACCACCUGUGGCGAAGGCGGUCUACCAGAACACGUUCGACGGUGAGGGAUGAAAGCUGGGGGAGCAAACCGGAUUAGAUACCCGGGUAGUCCCAGCUGUAAACGAUGCAGACUCGAUGAUGCAUUGGCAUAAUAGCCAUUGCAGUGUCGCAGGGAAGCCGUUAAGUCUGCCGCCUGGGAAGUACGUACGCAAGUAUGAAACUUAAAGGAAUUGGCGGGGGAGCACCACAAGGGGUGAAGCCUGCGGUUCAAUUGGAAUCAACGCCGGA
rnacentral:rRNA from 1 species